rnacentral:rRNA from 1 species
GACGAAGGGGGCUAGCGUUGUUCGGAAUUACUGGGCGUAAAGCGAGUGUAGGCGGUUUGGUAAGUCGGAUGUGAAAGCCCCGGGCUCAACCCGGGAAGUGCACUCGAUACUGCCAAGCUAGAGUAUCGGAGAGGUUGGUGGAAUUCUCGGUGUAGAGGUGAAAUUCGUAGAUAUCGAGAGGAACACCGGUGGCGAAGGCGGCCAACUGGACGAAUACUGACGCUGAGACUCGAAAGCGUGGGGAGCAAACAGG